UGCGUAGGCGGCUGUGUAAGUCUGGCGUGAAAGCCCCGGGCUCAGCCCGGGAAGUGCGCUCGAAACUGCGCAGCUCGAGUGCCGGAGGGGAGAGUGGAAUUCCUGGUGUAGCGGUGAAAUGCGUAGAUAUCAGGAGGAAUACCGGUGGCGAAAGCGACUCUCUGGACGGCAACUGACGCUGAGGCACGAAAGCGUGGGGAGCAAACA
rnacentral:rRNA from 1 species